rnacentral:rRNA from 1 species
AGGGAAAAGCUCAAAUUUAAAAUCUGGCGGUCCUUGCGGCUGUCCGAGUUGUAAUUUAGAGAAGUGUCGCCCGUGUUGGACCGUGUACAAGUCUCCUGGAACGGAGCGUCGUAGAGGGUGAGAAUCCCGUAUAUGACACGGACUACCAAUGCAUUGUGGUGUGCUCUCGAA